UGGAGGGCCUGGAUCACCUGGAAUCCUUCUGAUGAACAAAAGUCUCUAUAAGUUGAAAUCUUCUCCUCCGUCAACUUGCGGGGGUGGCACUGUGAGCUAUGUCAAUGGUUUCAGUGAAAAGGACACACUGUAUAAUGAAGAGAUAGAAGAGAGGGAAAAUGGUGGAACACCACAGAUAAUAGGAAUAAUAAGAGCAGCUUUGGCUUUUUGGGUAAAAGAAUAUAUCAG
rnacentral:misc_RNA from 1 species